AAUAAAACAACGCUAUCUCCCUUUUUUUUUUGUUCUUAUUGUAUGCCCAUCAAAGAAAAGCGUUAAUGUUUUUUUAGAAUGCUUAUAUACAUAGUUUUUUUUUUAUAAAACAAACAACACUGAAUUUGGAUUUUUAAAAAAACAUGGUUCAAAAAUAUAUGAUUCAGUACAAUUUGGGUUCAUUAACUGCAAGCGGUUCCAAAAUGGAAAGAAUGUUUUUCAAGCACACAAGUGUUUCAGCAAUAUUUUUUCUUUGUUUUGCCAAAGUAAAAGUUAAUUUAUCAAGAAUAUUCACAUUUGUUAUCUGUGCGUCUCUUCCGCAGACUACUGACGUUACUGAAAUACCUUAUUGUUUUGUUCUUCACAACAAAUAAUUGUUUUUCAAAAGAAAACAAUGUUUUCAAUUUUAAGAUGCUUUAGUAAAUUCACAAAUUUAGAAAUAAAACUUGUAAAUAUUGAGUUGCUCUAUUUUUGUUUGAUUAAAAAAAAGUUGUUUUCUAAAAUUUUAUAAAAAAGAAAAAUUCUUUUAUUUCUUUGAAGUUUAUUUUUUAACCAUGGAAAAUGUGAAACGGUGGAAAAGAUUGAGGGAAACAAUAUAUCAAAUCUACCACUUGAUUUUCACGUUGUUGAUUUCCUUUCUACUGACGUAUUUUUAUCAUUUUAAUCGUUUUAUUUGUCUUAAUAAUUUUUUUAACAAUGGGGUUUUUCUCUAUAAACAAUGUUUGGGUAUCGGAUUUAGAAAAUUAUUUUCUUGAUGAAAGUUUUCAACACCCUUUUCACUCUCUUUAUAAUAAAUUCUUCAACGGGUAUGAUAAUUCCACACUGGAAGUUAUACUUAGCGUACCUCCAACAGAUUCUUUAACCAAUAUAUUAAGGGAAGACAUUUUAUCAGUUGUGUCGGAAUUUCAUCAUGUCAUUCAACAAACCUUUUUAAAAUAUGAUGAAAUUCCAAUAGAAUUUAAAAAACACGUUGAAACAUUUUCUUCCACAUUUGUUAAUACAACAGUCUUUCAAUUUCAUCCUUUUUGUUCCCCAAAUUUCAAAUCCAGACAAUGUUUGCGAACCAAUGAAGGAUUUCUAGAAAUGUUAUUAAAGACAAAAUUUUUUUAUUCAAAAAAUGACUCUUUUUCACAUCAUCUUGUACAAUUACCCCUUGUAAACGAUUUCAUUGUUUUAAAAGAAGAAAAUAAUUUUUUCUUUUUUUCCAUGUUUGCAUCUCUCUAUGGUAUCAAAAAAAAAACAUGCCAACCUCACUAUAAUAAAAACAUGAUGGAGUUGAUUGAAAAAACAACCAUGACUCAAAAUGUGCUGACAUCGCUCGAAACAAAACUAAAAUUUUCAGAAAAAAAAAAACCAUUUUUUUGUAUUUAUAACGCUAAAGCUAUUCGUUUCACAUAUUCAUUACAAUCUCAUCAAAAUGUUUUGAAUCAUUUAUGGUUUCGAAAAUUGCUCUCCCUUCUUGGAAAUACGUCAACCUUCGGACCAUUACAAUUGGAUCUUAAAGGAUUGACAAAUUCUAAGGAUUGGAUAUUUUCGUUAUAUUACGAUAUGAUUUUCAUAUGCAGUCUGUUUUGUUUCACGCUGGUAUUUUCGUCCUGUAUUGAUUAUUUUUGUCUAGAAGGAAUUUAUCAACAACAAAGAAUUUUUAUAAGUUUUCUUGGUGUCGCGUUACCUCUCCUAAGUAUCCUUUCUGGAUUUGGUCUCUGUAUUUGGUUGAAAUGUACUCUUUUCCCUACCAGUAUCUUAUCCGCUUUUUUAAUUCUCUUUUUAUCGUUACAUCACACAAUGACGGUACAUGAUACUGUGUCGAGUUUUAAUGAAACCAAUGCAACCGAUUCUAAUAUCUAUCACAAUUUAAUACAAGAUUCAGUACAAAAUCAUUUCGUAAAAACAUUUCAUUUGACUCUUUUACUAUUGAGUCUUUCUUGGAAAGCCACUCCAAUAAUUAAAUCAUUCUGUUUCUAUUUUUUAGCUGGUAGCUUGAUGAACUUUUUUUUUUUUACUAUUUUAUUUUUACCUUUUCUUGUAAUCCAAAUCAAGCAAUUACAGCAACAUUGUAAUUCACAUGUAACUCGAAAGGAUACUUUGCCUCUAUGCUUUUUUUCUUAUUUUAAGAUAGUGUAUGUUAAAAUACUCAUUUUAACUAUGGUUAUUGCACUCUUAAUUUUUUUAAUUUAUAAUGGUCAACGAAAUUUUCAAAUUGAUUUCCAUAAAGAGUCCAUGUCGUAUAACUCCAACUUGCACCUUGUUAAGAAAAAUAUAAAGAAUUCUUAUUUCCCUUUAACUACCGAAACUACAAACAUUAUGUUUCUAGGAUACCCUACUGUUUCAUGGUGGACUCAAAAUUUUCGAGACUUUGUGAAUCAUCUUCACCAAGCAUUCCUAGAUUUUAAUGUCGCGUGUUCUAUUGAGAAUCCUUUAAGCAUUAUUUCCAAUGAUGUUAAAUAUAAAACAUGGAUGACAUCAGGACAACGUUCAAUAUUUGAGUCCAUUCUUUAUAAAGUUUUAUAUGAAUUCAAUGAUUUUAACGAACGGUACCAAGAUCAUUUUAGAUGGAGUCAUUCUCAUUUAAUAGCUUGGAAAUUAAAUUUACAACCACCUUUAUUUACCACACUUCAAAAACGUCAUGAAUGGUUUCAUCAUCUACAACAUUUCAUCCAGCAUUAUAGUCAAGCUUAUCCUAACAAACCAUCUUUUGUUAUCUCAAGCAAAAAAACGUUAAAGGAAAUACGUCAACCCAUCAAAUUAUCUAAUAACUCGAAUCCUAAUCAAUUAUUAAUCAUACCAUACAAUUCAUGGAUAUAUCUCCAUGAAAUUUAUACGGAUUUUUCAAAUGGUUGGCUUUUCUGCUUGGUCACGUUACUGCAUUGCAUCACAAAGAGUAUUAUCGUUUCCUUCAAGUUAUGUUUUUAUUGUGUCUUCAUAUGUUUUUUUUUAACCGGAGUUUUAUGCUUUUUACAAAUAUCCAUGAACACUGUUAUUUUUUCUUGGCUGUUCCUGGCAGUCUUUUUCUUAAUCCUUCCUUUCAAAAUGGUGUUCUUGAACCAUAAUCAUCACAAACAAAUAGUGAAUCAAACAUCCCAUUUAAAAACUACCUUUUAUUACAACGUUCAAUACUUUUGUAUUUAUCACAUUAUUGUUAUCAUUUGCCUCCUCCCUCUUUACCUUUGUCACCUAGAAAUAAUUAAAGUCUUCACUUGUAUUUUUUUAUGGUCUCAUCUUUUGACUGUUAUUGGAAUGUUUGUGGUGCUCCCUUGUAUUAUGGAUUUGUCUUUAGUUUAUUAAAUUAUUUAUUGGAAGGAUAACAUUUUUUUUUUCUUACAUGGAAAGUUCCAAAAAAUUUAAAAAAAUCACAUGAUUUAUUUUUUACGUUCUUACUGGUUUGGUAUAAAAAAAAAGAAUCUUUUUUCACCUUGUACACAACUUUUUUAUGUUUAAAUCAAGCAUAUAGAAUAAUUCUUUAAAUAAAAAUAUGUUCAUAAAAAUAAAAUUAAACCAAAAUUUUUAACAUUAUUUUUUUUUAUUUUAAAUAUGUCGGGAGUUACAUACAGUUGUUUAAAAAGUAUAAACAAGAGAAUAUAAAAUUAUGGCGAUACUUUUAUUUAAUUUUUCUUUUUAUCUUUCCCCAUGUAUUACGAUAUAUUUCAUUUUUCUUAUAUACCUUAUGACAUCAAGUCAAGCAUUAACAUUGACAAACUGGAAAUUUAAACAAGAAAAAGGCAGUGCGUCAUGGCAAUCUUUUUUGCAAAAUCCAUUGAACGAGGAGAUAAACUACGCCUGGUCUUCACACGCUUUAGAAGAAGUGAACGUUUUAGUAUAAUAAGGCUCUGGGGACUCGUCAAAGAAUUGUCGGAACUAUCAAUUCUGCAAUUGAGAUUUUUUCUGCAUUGCUUUAUGAUAGGCAUCUCCUUCAAGAACAGAAAAUCAUGAGAUUACAACGCAUCGCACAAUUAACACAUCAGUCAGCGUAGAAACCACCGUGGGGAUGACUUAGUCUUAUGCACUUUUAUUGCUUGUUCCAUCGUCACAUUGUAGAAAUCAGAAGAAACGAAUUUCCGAUGUUUUAAUCGAAGAUCAAGAACAUUUGACUUCUUUCUACAAUCGUUGGGCUCAAUAUCUGGACGUAGCGUCCAAUGUUCAACAACCUAGUUGGA